ensembl:snRNA U6 U6 spliceosomal RNA
GCGCUAGCUUUGACAGCACAUAUAUUAAAGUUGGAAAGAUACAGAGAAGAUUAGGUGGUCUCUGUGCAAGCAUGAUACACACAUUUUUAAGAGUGUAACUGUAUAU